rnacentral:lncRNA from 1 species
CUUUCAUAUCCAUAAGAUAAUUAAAACGAAGGAGGAUUUUUUUAAACUUUUUUUUUUGAAAUCAGCCAAUGGUUAAUGCAAGAGUUUGGCAGAUGCUUUACUAUUUAAAAAAAAAAAUUAAAAAUCCUCUAAAAUAACCAGAUCUUCUCAAGCCAGGGGACACCAAGACCCCCAAAUGGGUUUCCUCCAGCUUGCGGAUUAUUAAAAACCCGGCAUCUAGUUCGCCCGGAAUCAGUGGUGUGGCCGAUAUCGGUUUUCUGCCAGUUUAACUAGCCUGUUUGUGAAGCAUUACUUCAUAGCCAUUAUUGUCCCAGUAUCCACCUUCUCCCACCCAAACCACAGUCACCAGAAAUAUGGAGGAAGACUACCAUCUUUGAUGCAUCUGAAUCAGUUUCCAGUUGGCCAUUGACACACUUGGCAGAUUGGAAAUAGCUGGAGCAUCAGUUUCCUAAUUCUGAACCAUCUGGAAUUCCACCUGCUCAAAGUUAACAAUAUGGAGCUUGUUAAGCAAUUGUACCAUUUGCAACUUUCUCUUCAGUGGUAAGUGAAAUGUAUUGCACUACUGUGCUGGAGAAGUUUAACUUGCAAUUCAUUUG